rnacentral:lncRNA from 1 species
AAUGCCCGUAUGUUCGCGGCAAAAGCGCGCUCCUUCGAUUCAUGCCGCCACUAUAUAUGGCGCUGCGGUCAGCAUUGCGAUGCCUCCCCUUGCCCCUCCGCCUCUUUCCCCCGCUAUCUGUGCAUGAGCACGUGUGAUUGUCGUCUUCUUGGUUCGACGUUGCGCGCAUGCGAUUGUCCCGUCGUUUUCUUGUG